CCUACGUGUGGCUGCAGUGGGGAAUAUUGGACAAUGGGCGAAAGCCUGAUCCAGCCAUGCCGCGUGUGUGAAGAAGGCCUUCGGGUUGUAAAGCACUUUCAGUGGGGAAGAAAGCCUUGGGGCUAAUACCCUCGAGGAAGGACAUCACCCACAGAAGAAGCACCGGCUAACUCCGUGCCAGCAGCCGCGGUAAUACGGAGGGUGCGAGCGUUAAUCGGAAUUACUGGGCGUAAAGCGCGCGUAGGCGGUCUGAUAAGCCGGUUGUGAAAGCCCCGGGCUCAACCUGGGAACGGCAUCCGGAACUGUCAGGCUAGAGUGCAGGAGAGGAAGGUAGAAUUCCCGGUGUAGCGGUGAAAUGCGUAGAGAUCGGGAGGAAUACCAGUGGCGAAGGCGGCCUUCUGGACUGACACUGACGCUGAGGUGCGAAAGCGUGGGUAGCAAACAGGAUUAGAUACCCUGGUAGUC
rnacentral:rRNA from 1 species